GACGAACCGUGCGAACGUUAUUCGGAAUCACUGGGCUUAAAGCGCGUGUAGGCGGGUGACCGCGUCGGUCGCUGAAAGCCCCCGGCUCAACCGGGGGAUGGGCGCCGAAACGGGUCGCCUGGAGGGGCGUAGGGGGACCUGGAACUUCCGGUGGAGCGGUGAAAUGCGUUGAGAUCGGAAGGAACGCCCGUGGCGAAAGCGAGGUCCUGGACGCCAUCUGACGCUGAGACGCGAAAGCCAGGGGAGCGAACGGGAUUAGAUACCCCGGUAGUCCUGGCCGUAAACCAUGGGCACUGGGCAGCGGGCUCGCCGAUGGGCGCGCUGCCGUAGCGAAAGCGGGAAGUGCCCCGCCUGGGGAGUAUGGUCGCAAGGCUGAA
rnacentral:rRNA from 1 species